rnacentral:tRNA from 1 species
GGCGAGGUGCCGGAGUGGUCGAACGGGACGGUCUCGAAAACCGUUGUGGGUGUAAAUCCACCGAGGGUUCGAAUCCCUCUCUCUCCGCCA